GACAGAGGUGCCAAGCGUUAGGCGGAAUCACUGGGCUUAAAGCGUGUGUAGGCGGGUCGUUAAGUACCUUGUGAAAUCCCACGGCUCAACCGUGGAACUGCUCGGUAUACUGGCGAUCUUGGGCCACUUAGGGGCUAGCGGAACAAACGGUGGAGCGGUGAAAUGCGCAGAUAUCAGGAAGAACACCCGUGGCGAAGGCGGCUCUCUGGGACGGUACUGACGCUGAGACGCGAAAGCGUGGGGAGCGAACAGG
rnacentral:rRNA from 1 species